AGAGUUUGAUCCUGGCUCAGGACGAACGCUGGCGGCGUGCCUAAUACAUGCAAGUCGAGCGAAUCUUUAGGAGCUUGCUCCUGAAGGUUAGCGGCGGACGGGUGAGUAACACGUGGGCAACCUGCCUGUAAGACUGGGAUAACACCGGGAAACCGGUGCUAAUACCGGAUAAUCCUUCUCCUCACAUGAGGGGGAGCUGA
rnacentral:rRNA from 1 species